CGGACGGGUGAGUAACACGUGGAUAACCUACCUAUAAGACUGGGAUAACUUCGGGAAACCGGAGCUAAUGCCGGAUAAUAUAUUGAACCGCAUGGUUCAAUGGUGAAAGACGGUUUUGCUGUCACUUAUAGAUGGAUCCGCGCCGCAUUAGCUAGUUGGUAAGGUAACGGCUUACCAAGGCAACGAUGCGUAGCCGACCUGAGAGGGUGAUCGGCCACACUGGAACUGAGACACGGUCCAGACUCCUACGGGAGGCAGCAGGU
rnacentral:rRNA from 1 species